rnacentral:rRNA from 1 species
ACCCGCUGAACUUAAGCAUAUCAAUAAGCGGAGGAAAAGAAACCAACAGGGAUUGCCUCAGUAACGGCGAGUGAAGCGGCAACAGCUCAAAUUUGAAAUCUGGCCUUUACGGUCCGAGUUGUAAUUUGUAGAGGAUGUUUUGGGUACCGCCGUGGUUUAAAUUUCUUGGAACAGAAUGUCAGAGAGGGUGAGAGUCCCGUCUUGGAUCGCGGUAGGGCCUGUGUAAAACUCCUUCGACGAGUCGACUUGUUUGGGAAUGCAGGUCAAAAUGGGUGGUAAAUUUCAUCUAAAGCUAAAUAUUGGCCAGAGACCGAUAGCGCACAAGUAGAGUGAUCGAAAGAUGAAAAGCACUUUGAAAAGAGAGUUAAACAGUAUGUGAAAUUGUUGAAAGGGAAGCGCUGGCAACCAGACUCGUGCGCGGGGUUCCCCCUUGCUUCUGCUUGGGUUAUUUCCCCGUGUCCGGGCCAUCAUCAGUUUUGGGGGCCGGUUAAAGGUCUUGGGAAUGUAUCUACUCCUUCGGGGGUAGACUUAUAGCCCAGGGCGUCAUGCGGCCACCCGGGACUGAGGAACGCGCUUCGGCGAGGAUGAUGGCGUAAUGGUUGU